rnacentral:rRNA from 1 species
CCUUCCGUACACUCAGGGAUAGCCUUUCGAAAGAAAGAUUAAUACCUGAUGGUAUGAUGGGAUGGCAUGAUAGCAUCAUUAAAGAUUCAUCGGUGUACGAUGGGGAUGCGUUCCAUUAGAUAGUAGGCGGGGUAACGGCCCACCUAGUCGACGAUGGAUAGGGGUUCUGAGAGGAAGGUCCCCCACAUUGGAACUGAGACACGGUCCAAACUCCUACGGGAGGCAGCAGUGAGGAAUAUUGGUCAAUGGGCGCGAGCCUGAACCAGCCAAGUAGCGUGAAGGAUGAAGGUCCUACGGAUUGUAAACUUCUUUUAUAAGGGAAUAAAGUCACCCACGUGUGGGUGUUUGUAUGUACCUUAUGAAUAAGCAUCGGCUAACUCCGUGCCAGCAGCCGCGGUAAUACGGAGGAUGCGAGCGUUAUCCGGAUUUAUUGGGUUUAAAGGGAGCGUAGACGGGUCGUUAAGUCAGCUGUGAAAGUUUGAGGCUCAACCUUAAAAUUGCAGUUGAUACUGGCGUCCUUGAGUACGGUUGAGGCAGGCGGAAUUCGUGGUGUAGCGGUGAAAUGCUUAGAUAUCACGAAGAACCCCGAUUGCGAAGGCAGCCUGCUAAACCGCCACUGACGUUGAGGCUCGAAAGUGUGGGUAUCAAACAGGAUUAGAUACCCUGGUAGUCCACACGGUAAACGAUGGAUACUCGCUGUUGGCGAUAGACUGUCAGCGGCUUAGCGAAAGCGUUAAGUAUCCCACCUGGGGAGUA